GAAAUAACACUUACUACUCAAGGACAUUUUUGUUUUGUUACACAGCGUAAUUACAAGCAGUAUUCAAUCAAAAUGUCGUUUUUAUUUUUGGGGGGUUGGUUGCGUUUUGAGAAAUUCUUCUUCAAGCAAAAAAUAAACACUCAACACAUUUGUCAGUAACACGCUGUAGCCUUAAAAAGAUACAAAUAUAUAAUAGGCGACGUUUCGGGCAAUCACCCUUCUUCAUAGCCCAACCUUUAUCUCUUAAGUUUUCGCAACGCACUGCUGCAGGCAUCUUUGCUUGGCUGCGUAAGCUUAAGGUGCUGAAUUAGCCGGGCAACCGGUUGAACGGGAUAAUCCGUGUAACAAAUCAAAUACACUCAAAACUAAACCUCAAAUUAAGCCGUGUUCAGAGUAAAUAUAUUGCUCAGCCGAGCAUUGGGGCAGCGCUUAGUUCCAUCGGCAUACAGGGGGGGUGGAAAUCCCACAUUCCCAUGGCAGGAGCCAUAUUCUCCAGGGCACAACGACUGUGAACUUUUUGUGGUGCAUAUUGCAUUUGGAUGCCUCUGCGGUGUUCACCGUCAGCGCACUUGGACUUGCAAUCUGGAAGUCAGAAUCAGAUUAUUACAGAAUGGGAAUAUGUAUUUAUACUGGAUGAUUCAUUGAGAUGGUGAUUGGGUCCCGGGAAUGCAUUUACUCUGUGGAUUGUGCCAUGGGCUCACAAGGACGAACCUUCCCACAAAAACAAUAUGCUGGUGAGAUGUUCUUAAUCAUAUUUCGGAAUCAGAAUACUUAUUUUAUACUCGAGGAAUCCGAUGCGCUAAGAAGCAUUUUUUCCACAGUUGUCCAAUAAUCAAUCUCCCUGCACUGCAGUCGAAACAAUGGGGCGAGUUUCUUGAAAUCUACCCUUGGCCUCUUGUUAACCCAGUGGUAUAAAUGGGUAGAGCGCAGGUCAGAAGAUCGGCAGGUCGCGUGUUGUGGGGGGGGGGGUAAAGUGUGGGACUACUCUCAACGUUCUUGAGACGUGGAAGAGAAGGCCGAAUCCAACUGUAGAGAAGGGGGAAAUCAGGAGGACCCGAAUAAAAAUGCACGUGAGCACAGAGAGAGAACAUGCAACCUCCAAAUAUACAGCAAGGGUCAGGGUCGGGAUCGCACCAACGACCACCUGUAUACCAGGCGAGGGAGAUGACAUCUCGCCACCGUGGCACCCUACCGCCAAACAAGAUUUGAAGUUCAGUCAUAAUAUUAUUUGAUUCCUAGUUUACUAUUAAUAUUCCUAGUUUUUUUAUAAUUCACGUUGAAGUCAUUUUUUUUUGUUUAAGGUACCGCCGCUAAGGGUUUACGGUCUUAAGCUGCGAAUGCAUUUGUCUUGAUUUGACUCGCAAUUAAAAUGCCUCGAGUUACAUUGCGACGCGGCAGCCGUGCAUUGUUCCACUCGCCCAUCGAACAUUCCUGUCACGACCACAGAUGCAUACUUAGCAGACUGUACAAUACGGCCACGUCUAGUGGCAAGCAAUUUAUUUCGAGCGCGAUACAUAAUUCAUAAAUCCUCUCCAGCGCAGUUAGGUUCACCGAAUGCAGAGGCGUAAAUAAUUGAAAUAGACUUCUCAAGGACAUCCGUAUAGUGUAGGCUAUUUUUUAAUACAUAUAUUUUUUUCACAAACGUUAUAACAUUACUCCAAUAAGUGGAGACUAUUGUACACAAGAAGAAAAUAUUAAAAUAAGUCAGAAGUGCAUUUCCCCAAACGGAAGCCGAUGCAGCUACACGGAUCUUAUUCCAUUGGCGACACAACAGCGGCGGAAUUUAACGUGCUCUGAAGCGGGGCCAUGGCCCCGAAACGUCGCCCGCCACAUUCAUUUCUUUUUCAGGCCACGGUGUUGCUGACGAACGUGUUGAUAAUUGUGCUCGCGCUGCCUUCGCGGGGGUGAAUCAGCGACGCCAAAGAAUCUGCGGAAAGAAGUGACGCCCCCGUGAUCAGGUUGACUGCAGACUGUCGGCCCUCCCCUCGAGGCACCCUUCUGCGACUGCCGCUGGUGUCUCUCCAAAUCAUCGGAGGUUUAUUGAGUGAACGCUCUCACACGUGACUGCCCAUUCAAGCUCGAGCGACAGACAUGCAAGACAACUACAGGAGGAAACCAUACAUCUCGGAGAAAUCCCAUGGAGAACGUACCAACUCUACACAGAAAGGCACCUUACCCGAGUUGGGAAUCAAACCCAGGGCAUUCUUACUUUGGAGUCACGAGUGUUACCACAGCACCACCCUGUCGCAACAUCGUUAACUUAAAUUAUGAUACAGGGUGCUUCAAAAAUAAAUGUGAAUACUUCUGAGAAUUCGCAACAGCAGGUGACAUGUGCUGAUGGAGACGACCUGGAGAAGAUUCCAGGCUACGUGUUGACAACGAUCGUGAACAAGUGUGGAGACUCUUUGACUUUUUGAAGCUAUUAACAUUCCAUAUGUUAUCAGUGUUUAUCCGUUCUUUAUCCAUUAAAAACGAUAGUCCCAUUCAACUGUUAGCAUUUUUUUAAGCACCCUGUGUAUAUAAAUGAUAUACGUUCGUUGAAUUUAAAUGUUCGAUAUACAGUUGUAAACAAAUGUGAUUGAUUUAUUGAGAUUUCUCAUUAUUAUUUGUAUUAUUCUCAUGAAAGUGCAAGGUCAUCACCAGACGACUUGGUAGAGCGGUGUUCUUCAGUGCAAGGCCACUGGCGGGCCACUGGUGGGCCCCCUGGUGGCCUUUAGUGCCGGGCUCCUGACGUGAGCC